UAUAAGAUCGAAGAGAAUCUAAAAUACUAAAAAUAUAUCGCCACCGCCGAAGACCACUUCCUCCGCCGUUCGUUGUCGUCGGAACCCCAGUUCUACCAUCUCCUCUCCAUCAUCGAUUCACCUAUUCAACGCAUUUUCGCGUUCUGCUUUAGAAGAUGCGGUUCAUGAUUUGGAGGAGAGUCUCGCUAAGGGGUUUGAUGGUGAGAGAAAGCUUAAGGUCUGUGCUUGAAACCUGAUUUUGAAGGUUUAGUGAAGAAAAGUCUAAUGUCAAUCUGUUUGAAACAGACAAGUAUGUUAAAACUUCUUUGGCACAUAACAUGUCUCUGAUUGAUUGCCUCGUAAGAAACGGAAAAGUCAGGUUGAUGCUCAUUUGUAUGCUCUUAAGAGGACAGUCUUUAUGGGUAAUCUCCCUUAAUGUGAAGAAAAGCGUGCGAACUUACAAAAACAGCUCCAUGGUUAUCAUAAGAUCGUAAUUUCCGAUGCAUUAAUGGUUCCGGUUUCAUUUAUGCCUUCCUGAACACUAUUGCAUACUUCCUGAAAUUAAAUAGACCAAAUGUACAGUGAUAACAGAAGUAGAACACGAUUUUUUUAAGAAAGAGAGAGGAUAUGAGAAUUUUGAUUAUCAAAGGUAGUUUUCACCCGAAAACUUGUUAUUUCAUUCUAUUUGUAAAUUAUGAGAUUUGUAGUCUAAUUAUCAUAUAUGAAUGAUUCCUUGAAAUUUAGGAAGAACUCUUUAAAGUAUA